ACCUGAGUGAAGAGAAAGGGAUCGUCCGCCAUUGUUAAGAAGGUAAAAGGGCAUUUGAGGAGGAUGAGAAUCUUGUUUCCUUUUAUUUGUUCUUUCUGCGACUCUGCUCUCCUCUCAUAACUGGAAAAGGAAAAAAAA